UGGGGAAUAUUGCACAAUGGGGGAAACCCUGAUGCAGCGACGCCGCGUGAGCGAAGAAGGUUUUCGAAUCGUAAAGCUCUGUCCUAUGGGAAGAUAAUGACGGUACCAUAGGAGGAAGCCCCGGCUAACUACGUGCCAGCAGCCGCGGUAAUACGUAGGGGGCAAGCGUUGUCCGGAAUCACUGGGCGUAAAGGGUUCGCAGGCGGAAAUGCAAGUCAGUUGUGAAAGGCAGAGGCUCAACCUCUGUAAGCAAUUGAAACUGUAUUUCUUGAGAUGUGGGGAGGCAAGUGGAAUUCCUAGUGUAGCGGUGAAAUGCGUAGAUAUUAGGAAGAAUACCGGUGGCGAAGGCGACUUGCUGGACACAAACUGACGCUGAGGAACGAAAGCUUGGGUAGCAAACAGG
rnacentral:rRNA from 1 species